rnacentral:rRNA from 1 species
UACAGAGGUCCCAAGCGUUGUUCGGAUUCACUGGGCGUAAAGGGUGCGUAGGUGGCCAGGUAAGUUCGGUGUGAAAGCUCAGAGCUUAACUCCGAAAUGGCAUUGAAUACUAUCUGGCUAGAGGGUCGGAGGGGAGACUGGAAUUCUCGGUGUAGCAGUGAAAUGCGUAGAUAUCGAGAGGAACACCAGUGGCGAAGGCGAGUCUCUGGACGACUCCUGACACUGAGGCACGGAAAGCCAGGGAGCAAACAGG